rnacentral:rRNA from 1 species
UGAAUUGACGGGACCGCGACAAGCGGUGGAUGAUGUGGUUUAAUUCGAUGCAACGCGAAAACUUACCACCUUUGACAUGUACGGAAUCCUUAGAGAUAGAGGAGUGCUCGAAAGAGAGCCGUAACACAGGUGCUGCAUGGCUGUCGUCAGCUCGUGUCGUGAGAUGUUGGGUUAAGUCCCGCAACGAGCGCAACCCUUGUCAUUAGUUGCUACAUUCAGUUGGGCACUCUAAUGAGACUGCCGGUGACAAACCGGAGGAAGGUGGGGAUGACGUCAAGUCCUCAUGGCCCUUAUAGGUGGGGCUACACACGUCAUACAAUGGAUGGUACAAAGGGUCGCCAACCCGCGAGGGGGAGCCAAUCCCAUAAAGCCAUUCGUAGUCCGGAUCGCAGUCUGCAACUCGACUGCGUGAAGUCGGAAUCGCUAGUAAUCGUGGAUCAGAAUGUCACGGUGAAUACGUUCCCGGGUCUU